AAAUAUGAUCACAGCGCAACGUGAGCUGGCAAAGGCGAUCAGACGCUGCAUCCGCCUCUACAGUCUGCACAGUGCAACAUGGGAGCACGUCACUGGUCCACAACAAAGAAUAUGCUUUGGACUUGAUUGUAAAUGAUGAGCUGGACAAUGUAGACCAUACAGGUCUCCAUAUACUGGCAGAGGUGGCUGCAGAGGCAGGGAUAGUUACGCCACAGCCUGUUGACCAGGGCACACAAACAGAAGACAUUAGCUUUGAAGGAAAGCUGCUGCUCUUUCUUUCUGCAACUGAUGGUCAUUGUGCGUCCACACAGGUCACGCAUCCCAUGCAGUCCAACAAGGUGACAACCACGGAUGGACAAUGGCAGCGACAGUGUGGGUUCAUGGGGUUGCAACCCUGAAAAGCUCGGAGAAUGUGCUGCAGAACCUGUGCUGUGUCACAAUGACGGUAUUCAGCAUUCUUCUGAACAUGCUGCCAGAACAACGGUGCAGAUCGAGCAGCAUGACAAGAGAGGACCGACUGACACUCUUCCUCAUGAAGCUCAAACUAUGCAUAAGCUUUACAGCACUUGCUGCAAUAUUUAGGGUGUGCGAGACCACUGCUGCAAGAGUGUUCAGAAGCACGUUGGAGAUCCUGUCCAGUGAACUGAGUGAAUGGGUCUUUGUACCAUCACGGGGAGCAAUCAAAGACACAAUGCCAGAAUGCUUCAAAUUACACCACCCAAACUGCGCGUUUAUUAUAGACUGCGCAUAAAUUACAACAGAAGCUCCGACAGACCCUGAACAACAGCUCUAUCUCUAUUCCCACUACAAAGGCUGCUGCACAUUGAAAUUCUUGAUUGGCCCCAUUCCAAAUGGCAUGGUUGCUUUCCUUUCGAAUGCCUAUGGUGGUCGCCACAGCGACACUUUCAUAACGAGAGAUUCUGGCUUUCUGGCUUUGAUCGAGCCUGGUGAUGUGAUCCUUAGUGACAAAGGGUUCCCAAACAUCAGAACCAAUGUCGAAGGCUGUGGUGCCGUCAUCGUAAUGCCAUCUCUGUCAUGUGGAAAGGCCCAAAUGGAAGACACUUACAAGGUAGCCCAAGUUCGGGUUCAUGUUGAACGGGCGAUACAGAUACUCAAGCUGUUCAACAUUCUAAACAACACGGUACCACUCACAUUGGUACCAUAUAUGGCACAGAUUAUACGUGUGGAGUGCUUGUGAAUUUGCAACCCCCAAUCAUCAGUAAGAAGUGAGCAGAAAAAUUGUUAUUAAACAUUGAUGGGUUAAACUUGCAGCCACAAUCUCACAUUUUCCUUCUCAUAAAGCUUGCGAUAGAAGCAGUUAGUUACAGACCUGAACCGAAGGGAGGCAAUAAU